CCUGUUUAUUCAACAACAAAGCACUCCCCAGCACCAAAACAAUUAACAACACAAGAUGACAACAAAACUCUUUCACCCCUCUGAAGAGCUGAACAAAUCCAGAAGGUCUUUCCUGGGAGUGGUCGCCCGGGUCUGGACACUGGGGAUGGCUGCUGCAGAUCUCCAAAUGCAGGCUCCUGGUGUUCUUUGGUGUUUCCCAGAUCCCAGUCCAGAGCAGGCUGGAUGAUAUUCAGAAAGAGGAAGGGAAAAAAAGCAACAGUCCAGGGAAAGAAUUGGACUGCUUAACCUAACUAGGAAGCAAAGCAAGAAAGCAGGCAAAGCAAGCAAGCCAAGCAAGCAAGCAAGCAAAGCAAGCAAGCCAAGCAAGCAAGCAAAAGCAAAGCCAGCCAGCCAGCCCUAGCCUUUUCUAGCUUUCCAGCAGACAUGGGGGGAGGUGAACCAGAUGAUAACACAGCAAAACAAACCUUCACUUUCAGAGUCAGUUCUGAAAGCACAGAACAUAAUAUCAAACGUAAACAGAACACACGAUUGGAGAUACAAACACCAUAACAGUCACCCUAGGACAUUCCACCCCUUAUCUCCAUAUCUUCAACAUCAUGUAAAAACUCCAUCAAGUUAAAACUUGUAUCUUUCACUUACUCAUACCUUCUUUCUCAUGUCUGUGUGUUUUCAUGCACAGACAUUGACAGUAACAUCCAGCAAACAGUGAUAUUUGCACAAUAGUUUCACCCCACAAUCAGAUCUCCCUGAGGUACACAUCGUGUUGUUCCAUCUCUCUGCAUUAUCCACCAUUACAACCUGGUCCCUGAGCAAAGACAAUCCCACGAAUGGGUUUGUCUGUACUCGAGGCAGGAUUGAUCCACACUGAUUUCCCUAACAAACCUCUGACAUGUGCCACUGGGACUUUAUCUCCGUCUACUAUAUUCAGGGGCUCAGACUGGGCAGGACCUGCUCGAUUGGUGGAACCUCGGCUGUUAACUAACCAGGUGGCCUUUGCUAAAUGUUGCUCCCAAUUUUUGAAAGAUCCCCCACCCAAUGCUUUUAAGGUGGUUUUUAACAGUCCAUUGUACCUCUCCACUUUGCCUGCAGCUGGUGCAUGGUAGGGGAUGUGGUACACCCACUCAAUGCCAUGUUCCCUAGCCCAGGUGUUGAUAAGGCUGUUCUUGAAAUGAGUCCCAUUGUCUGACUCAAUCCUCUCAGGGGUACCAUGCCUCCAAAGGACCUGCUUUUCAAGGCCCAGGAUGGUGUUACGGGCUGUAGCAUGAGACACAGGGUAGGUUUCCAACCAUCCAGUGGUGGCUUCUACCAUUGUGAGCACGUAGCGCUUGCCUUGGCAUGUCUGGGGCAGUGUGAUGUAGUCAAUCUGCCAGGCCUCCCCAUACUUGUACUUGGACCACCGCCCACCAUACCACAGGGGCUUCACCCGCUUGGCCUGUUUGAUGGUAGCGCAUGUCUCACAGUCAUGGAUAACCUGAGAAAUACUGUCCAUGGUUAGAUCCACCCCUCGGUCUCGUGCCCACUUAUAAGUGGCAUCUCUACCCUGAUGGCCUGAGGCAUCAUGGGCCCAUCGUGCUAGGAACAACUCUCCCUUGUGUUCCCAGUCGAGGUCUAUCUUUGAUACCCCUAUCUUCGCAGCCUGAUCUACCUGCUGAUUGUUUUGCUGCUCUUCAUUAGCUCUGCUUCUGGGGACAUGGGCAUCUACAUGGCGAACCUUCACAGGUAGCUUCUCUACCCGGGUAGCAAUAUGUUUCCACUCUUCAGCAGCCCAAAUUGGUUUUCCUCUACGCUGCCAGUUAGCUUCUUUCCACCUCUCUAGCCACCCCCACAGAGCAUUGGCUACCAUCCAUGAAUCAGUGUAGAGGUAGAGCUUUGGCCACUUCUCCCUUUCUGCA
rnacentral:lncRNA from 1 species